GGCCACAGCCAUAUCACCCUGCAGCCCAAGACUGGUUGCCCACUGAAGCCAAGCAGGGUUGAGCCUGGUUAGUAUCUGGAUGGGAGACCUCCUGGGAAAACUAGGUUGCUGUUGGAA
rnacentral:rRNA from 1 species